rnacentral:rRNA from 1 species
AUGCACUCGCUGGGUAUUGUUCCGGAGACACGCUGGGACGGCGACGGGACGCGGAUUCAGAACAUACACCGAUGGAGAAUGGUGUUCGAUGGGGGUCUCUCUCGGUCAUGUUGUAGGAUUCUUGGCCACAGCACAACUGGGGCAGACAUGUUGGGUUUACUGCUGCAGCACUACCUGGAGCUCUCUAUGCGUGCUCGAGUCGGCACGCUCUCUCUCUCGACAGUGAUAUGCUCUCUCCACUCCAUGGAAUCUCACUCUUUGAACUUUCUCUCCUCGCAGAGUGGAUUUUGUGGGCCUGGUGUACCACAGUCCAUAGUGUAUUGCCUACGGUCCGGUAAUAGUUGUCGUUUUCGAUAA